ACUACGGUGUGCUGCAGUGGGGGAUAUUGCACAAUGGGGGAAACCCUGAUGCAGCGACGCCGCGUGGGCGAAGAAGUAUUUCGGUAUGUAAAGCCCUAUCAGCAGGGAAGAAGAAAUGACGGUACCUGAGUAAGAAGCACCGGCUAAAUACGUGCCAGCAGCCGCGGUAAUACGUAAGGUGCAAGCGUUAUCCGGAUUUACUGGGGGUAAAGGGAGCGCAGGCGGCACGGCAAGCCUGAUGUGAAAGCCCGCGGCCCAACGGCGGGACUGCAUUGGGAACUACCGGGCUGGAGUGCCGGAGAGGUAGGCGGAAUUCCUAGUGUAGCGGUGAAAUGCGUAGAUAUUAGGAGGAACACCAGUGGCGAAGGCGGCCUACUGGACGGUGACUGACGCUGAGGCUCGAAAGCGUGGGGAGCAAACAGGAUUAGAUACCCUAGUAGUC
rnacentral:rRNA from 1 species